CUGGCAAAAACUGUGCACCUAGAGGAGGUCGCAGGCGGUUCCGGGUUCGGCAGCCCAUCGCUCACUAUAGAUGGGACCUGAUGCAGAGGGUUGGGGAGCCCCAGGGAAGGAUGAGAGAGGAGAACGUACAGAGGUUUGGGGGUGAUGUGAGACAGCUCAUGGAGAAGCUGAGGGAAAGGCAGCUGAGCCACAGCCUGCGGGCGGUUAGCACUGACCCGCCUCAUCAUGACCACCAUGAUGAGUUUUGCCUCAUGCCCUGAGUCCUGAGCUUUUCUCUGAAGAUGACAUGGGGACCCCUGCCUUGUGAUGUACAAAUUUUGAGGUUACUCCUUUUUAUGUAGAUCUCUCCCUGUUACCAGCUUCUAAUUGAAACUUGUGUUUUUUACUCGGCCUAUAAUUCUUUUGUUAGCAGAAUUUAUCAAUUGCAUGGGAAGAUCCGUAUUACCUAUUGUGAACCUAAUAAAGCAGAUUUAAAAGGC
rnacentral:lncRNA from 1 species